rnacentral:lncRNA from 1 species
ACUCGAAUUGCUUCAACUGGCGGGAAGGGGCUCUUAAUGGGAACUACCUUAAACGAAAGCUUCAGGAUGCAGCAGAACAACUAAAACAGUAUGAAAUAAACGCCACUCCUAAAGGCUGGUCCUGCCACUGGGACAGGGAUCAUAGACGGUAUUUCUAUGUAAACGAGCAGUCGGGCGAGUCUCAGUGGGAGUUCCCAGAUGGUGAGGAGGAGGAGGAGGAAGGCCAUGCACCAGAGAGUAGAGAUGAGACUCUUCCCAAAUCCACCUUGAAGGACAAACCUGGCGCUGAAUCAAAUGCCACAGAGUCCUCUGAGAACCCCACAGGUGAGAUGGUUUACCCUGCCUGGUUGGACUGCACUGAUUUUAGAAAACAAGUCAGGAAUUUAUCAGAAAAGAAAAGCAUUUAUGACAUAAGCUAAAUUUUAGAGUGACUUGAACUAAAUGUAUGAGUUAUACUAAAAUGAAGGCAGUGACUGGUUUGGAAAUCAGCAUAACAUGGAUCAGACUGUGCCCCCGAAUGAGAAGAGGGACCAGGACCACUGUGUGUCUGCCGGGCAUCAUGGGCCACGCCUGUCCUUGCAGCGUUCUGGAGGCUGGCAGGUCGUAGCCCAGCUCGGGCAGUUAGUGACUUAGUGACACCUUGAUGGUGCUUAGUCUCUCGGUGUUGCCACCACAUUUGCCACUUCCACUGCUCUUUAAAGCGUCUUUGGUACAAAUCAGAGUGACAGGAGGAAAUGCCAUGAACUGGUACCAUACUCUUUUCAGAAGAGCUAGAUGGAGCCAGGGAUGUAGCUCAGUGGCACCUCACCUGCCUGGCAAGCGCAAGGUCCUGAGUUCGAUCCCCAGGAUGGGCGAUGGGGGACCUAGAUAAUUGAUCCUUGAAAAAAUUGUCAGCAUCAUUCGUCCGUCACUUUCCUAAUUGCUGGGAAAAAUUACCUGACACCCAUGGUUUAGAGGAAGAGAGGUUUCUUUUGGCUCCAAGGCAAGGGGCCUGGUAGAAAGGCCUGGGUAGAGGGAAGCUGAGAACAGAGGCACCCAGGAGGGAGAUGAACACUUCUGGUCACACCCGGAAGUGACCAGACCCUCCUCCCAAGACCCAGUCGGUGAUAGCACCCCUCAGAGCAUUCCCAUCCAGAGCCCUGCCUGUGAGCAGCAGAGGCAAGGCGUGGGGAGCGCUCUCGGUCCAAAGCAUCACAGCAAUACAGCAUGCAGCACUCAGACCCAGGACUCACCCCAUUUAACAAGGGGGCUUUCAUAGCCCCUUAGUUACUGUGAGGAUCCAGUUAGCUCUUCAGAAGAGCCACAACUUGAUUGCCACUUCAUAAAAGAAACUACAUUUCCCCCCAUUCCAUUUCACUUGGAAUGGUAAAUAAAGAAAAUGGUAAAGCAUAGACUAUGACUUAACAACCUUUUGAUCUUAAAACACAUUAGCUGGUUGUUAAAGUUGCAAAGGCAAGAGUCUUCUCCCUGUCAGAAACAGUGGUCUGCUGGCUGCUGGCUGCUGGCUGCUGGCUGCUGGGUCCCGGUAGCAGUGUCCUGGUGAUGCACAGAUGAUGCCCUCUGGUCCCUGAGGACCGCAGGUCUUAGGCAGCCCGGACGCCACAAUCAGCUCCCCUGAAGGCCGCAGUGACAGUUUCGGGAACAGCGAAGGGCGGCUUGCGUCUACUCACAUCUCCGCAGUGCCUGGCGUUCCUCUUGUGCACGUGGCCCUCCUUGGGUGCUGUGGUGGCCUUGCCUGCGGAUCUCUGUAGUGCAGAUGGCGCACUCCUGACUGCAACUGCGCCGCCUGUGCUGGGAGUCAGGGCCUCUGCAGUUGCUCAGCUGGAGAGGGCGCCUGGGAGCUGAGUAGCCAAGGAGCCUGCAGAGCCGCUGUCCAUGCCGCAAGGGCGGUGCUGCCCAGUGCAAGAUCAGAGUCGCGCUUAGCUGAUUAAAACAGAAUAAACUGCUGCAGAGAAAAAAAAAAACAUUGACAAACUGACAUUUAUUUUCAAGCCUCUCUAGUGAGCAUACCUAGAACAUGAUAAGCUUUGUCUAAAUAAAAUGCAAAUCAGCCGGGCAUGGUCACACAUGUCUGUAACCCAGCACUCUGGGACGCUGAGGCAGGAAGGUUGGCAAGUUCAAACUCAGACUAGGAAACUUAGCAAGACACUGUCUCAAAAUAAAAUAUGAGGGCGGGGAUUUAGUUCAGUGGUGCUGCCGCCUGCCUUGCAAGUGCAGGGUCCUGAGUUUGAUCCCCUACCAAAAAAAUAAAUAAAUAAAACUUUAAAACCCGAAAAGGUCUGAAGGUGUAGCUCAGUGUAAAGGCCUUGUGUUCAGUACCCAGACCACACACACACACACACACACACACACACACACACACACACACACACACACACACACACACACACGGUAAAGCCAGGUGUGGUGGUGCACUCCUGUAGUCCUGGUGCCUGAGAGGCUGGGGGCGGGGCUCACAAGUUUGAGGUCAGCCUGAAUUAUAGACUCAGAGUCUGUCUCCGAAAAGUGAAUUUGUUUAUUUAUAUAUUUGUAAUUAGAGAAUACUUCAUUAGUUUCUGUAAUCAAACCCAUGUAGGUAAAAUGUUAUAUGUUUAAUACAGCAUAUAACUCCCUAUACAAUAGAAAAAAAUUAUCUAGUGUUUCCAGACCAGUAUUGUUGUUAAUCUUGUUCAGUGCCGUUCUAAGUACUAGCACAGCUAGUUUCCAAAACUUCAGAUUUUAUAUAUAACAGUAAUUACGGUAUCAAAUUUUAAGAAUAAAAAUAUUGCAAUUUCUGGAGUUGUAGCUUAGCACAGUCCCUGGGGUCACUCCCCAGUACUUCAAAACAAAAUGAAGAAAGAAAGAUAAAGAACAGUGGGCUAGAAUAUGUAUGAGCCCAUGGCUGCAUCCCCAGCGUGGGGCGGCGAACCUUGUAGAGACUUCAGUGACACAAGCAGCCUGCUGUGGCACACGCGCCUGAGGUUCACCACCGCUGGCCUAGCAGCUCAGAAGCAAAAGAGAAGAGUGACUGCACUAGGAGGCACCAGGGGAGUGUGGAGUUGGCUUUCUCUUUUGUGGUUUGGUCCUGGGACGGAAGCUGGAGCCUCGCAUGUGCCCUCGAAGGCUCUGCCUGCCACGCUGCAGGACACACCCACACUUGCACGGCCCUUCUCCACGCAAGCCCUCAAUGGGUGGCACCUGGGUGUGCGGCAAGCGAUCUCUUUGCUGCCUCACAUGUCAUUCAGGUUGCACCAAGCUGCCUUUUGUAACCUCCAUGGAAACUGGCCUUUGAUUCAAAAUAGCAGUCAUUUAUUUCUCUGGGGGUAAAUAAGAGAGGCUGCUUAUAAAUAUAAAUUUAAGGCUGGGGAUUUAGUUCAGUGGUUCUGCCGCCUGCUUCACAAGCACAAGGACCCGAGUUUACGAUCCCCAGUACCCAAAAAAUAAAUAAACAAAUAUAAAUUUAUUUUAAUCUCUGGACUUCAGAAUUAAAUAUUUUCUUCCAUGAGAGAAAUGCUAACUAGAUUAAGCGUAGAAACAAGGAGAACUGUCAUGUUAGCAGAUGUUGGUGGUAUACAAGUCAGGGUUUCCUGGUUUGUCUGUAUUUACUCAAAGGAAGUAAUUACCAGUGUUCAGGAUGCAGCUUUUAUGUUUUGAGUGAACGUAGUUUGAGAUUCAAACAUUGUAAGAAUGCUCGUUGGUGACUAAAUUUGUCAAGUGCGGUUUACUAUUCACACAAGCUUUAGUUCAUUCCGAUGAGCAUGAUGGGAAGGCACGGAGCAUGUUAAAUUGACCUUGGCCUGCCGUGCAUCCUGGGCCCCUCCACCCUGCAGCCUGUUACCCCAGCAACGUCACCAGUAUCGCCCGGCGCUGCUGGGUGAGGAGCCUGCUGUUAACAGCUCCACUCCACAUGUUGUGGCUAGUUUGGUAGAAGGAAGUUUAAUUUUUAGUUAAUAAUUAAUCUCCAAUGUUUAUUACCUUAGUUCUGAUGUGAUUAUUUUAUUUUGAGACAGGGCCUGGCUUUGUAGUUCAGGCUGCCCUGGAACUCGCCACCAUGCCCAGCUAAUUCUGUUGUAAUCUUGAUGUGCUGUGAUCUAAUUUAGGCUUCCUGGCCAUACCCAGGCUUUGUCUGUAAGUUCACACAUCAGUUAAUAUCACAUAAUACCAAAUACAAAAAUGUAGUGAGUCAUUUGAUUUCUUUUAGCUGGAAAACUGCAUUUAUGUUUUCCUAGUACCUAAGUUUUUCAGUGGCAUUUUCAUAGCAGUACAAGAAUGUCUCCUCAUAUAAAAACAAUGUAAACCGUAUUAAGGUCUUUUUUACACUGUGUAUCAUGUAUCUGUUCCAUAAAAGCAGAGCUACUCUAAAUGCCAAAUACCUUCUGAUUGCUUGGGUUUUGCCUUGUCAGACACUGCCAGUGCAGUAUUUUGGGGUUUUUUGAGGCAGGGUCCCUGUGUGACCUACACUGGCCUUGAAAUUUGCCAUCCUCCUGCUUCAGCCUCCUGAGUGCUGGAGUUACAACCAUGCACCACCACACCAGCUCUGUGCCACUUUAGACCAUGAAACUUGACAGGUAACGUAUCUGGAGUCCAUGAAAAGUGAGAUUUAUCUUGAGAUUUCUAAAUCUCUUGGACUCGUGAUAUUUCAGCAGGCCGUCUUGGUGAGGUAGGAAGUACUCAGGGGAAUCAGACUGGGCUCCGGCGUGGCCCUGGCACUGUAGCCAGGUGGUGUUGGGAAUCAGUACCUGCCUGGGUUUCAUUACCUUUAAAGCAAGAGGGUGAAUUAGAUGAUUUCUCAUGUCUCUUCUACUCCUAAAUUCUGUGAUUUUAGGGAGAAAAUCCCUCAGCACUCCUGGGAUGUAGAUCUAAUAGUCCCAUAUAUUGUGGCACUUCCCUCCUGGCGCUAAGGAGGGAUGGGGAAGGCUCCAAGUAAGUAUAUCCUCCCCCCUCCUCUCCCUUCACCUUCCCCUGCAGAGCAGCGGCAGGAGUCCUGGUGGCCGUCUCCAGAUUGGAGAAAGGCUGGUGCUGCCGCUUUUCAGAUGCAGUCUCUUGACUCAGACUUGAGCAACAGCAGUCUUAGAUCCUCUGCAUCCUGAAACACUGUUUUUGGAAAUCUGAGUUUUCAUUUACCUGGGGGAUGUGCCCUCCUAAAUUUCCCCUUUGGCAUUGCAGAGCUAAGUGUGGCCCUCGCCUCACCUGGUUGCUGAUUUACAGGUGCAGGUGACUCAGACACAGGAAGGAUGCAGUCGGUGGUGGGUUUUACUCUAGCUGCUCAGCAGGCGGGGGCGGGCAUGCGGGGAGCGGUGCCCGGUGUCCAGUGUCUCCGCACACUCGCUCAGAAGUAAAGGGUGGAGCCAGGGUCACAAGUGUGCACUUGGAAGCAAGAGGACCCUAGCCUAGUGUAUCUCGGUCGAAACUGAACAUCAGAAAUGGAAGAUUCUCAACUCCAGACUGAGGCCCGAGGGUCUCUGGGUCACAGGGAGCGAGGUGUGUGAGCCAGCCGGGGACGUGCUCGCCCCAGGCUGGUCCCUGCCCCUUGGCAUGGAGGCCCCUGGGAGCCGAGCUGCGUCCUGGGUCCUGUCCCCACUUCUGACCCGCCUUGUGUGCUCGCUGGCCCGGCCUGGCCUGAUGGCCGCGUCCCUCCAGCCCGCCUUGGUUCCCUGUGGCGCUGCUUCCCUAACACCUCUCUGUUUCCGUAGGUUCCCUUUGUAAAGAAUCCUUUUCUGCUCCAGCAUCGUCUGCGUCACUCAUGCCGCUCACUCCCUUCUGGACCCUGCUGCAGUCCAGUGUGCCUGUGCUGCAGCCACCCCUGCCGCUGGAGAUGCCCCCGCCGCCGCCGCCUCCAGAGUCCCGCCCCGCCCCCGCCCCCACCCCCCCCCGGCCGAGGACGGCGAGAUCCAGGAGGUGGAGAUGGAGGACGAGGGCAGCGAGGAGCCUCCCGCGCCCGGGACAGAGGAGGACCCACCUCUGAAGCCGGCAGCACAGGCCGCCGUUGUCACCAGCCAGAGCACUGUGGAUGCCGCCAUGUCCAGCCCUCCUUCCACUAAGGCGGUGAAGAGAAAGGCGGCGGAAAUGAGCAGCGCAGUGGUUCAGCGGUCGGCCACCAUCGGGAGCUCCCGGUCAUCUACAGCCAGCCGCCCGUGGCCACAGGUCUCCAGGCCACAGGGAUUGGACACCAGCCCGUGUCCCUGAGCCACAUGGCCACAGGCAUGGGUCACCAGGCCCGAGGGUUGAGCCUGCAGUCCAGCUACCUGGGCCUCACGCCGGCCAUCGUGAGUUACACCGAGUGCUCUGUCCCCAUGGGAGUGACCACGGCCUCCCUGCAGCCAGUCCAGGCGCGCCCGGCAGCCGCUGCCAUAGAGCCACCACCUCCACCACCGCCGCCUCCUUCUACGCUGCCACCACCACCAGCUCCCAAGCGCCACCCCGGAGAAGACAAAGAAAGGAAAGAAAGAUAAGCCCUCCUGUUUAUCCCCGGUGCUUCCCCGCGCUGCUGGUCCGUGUGACCCUGCAGGGCCUGGCCUCCACCGCUACAGUGUCUUCUGGGCUCAGGUCGGUGCACAUCCGCUCCGCUCUGUCCCACCGCCUGCUGCUCCUGUGCCUGUCACCUCGAGUUAGGAUCCAGUGCGGGGCUUCUGGUCGCUGUCUUCGGGCGCUUCCCAGGGUGUCCCACACUCAGGUCCUCCUGUCUGUCUCACUGCAUCUUGGUUUCCGCCGUGCCCACCCUGGUGGGCAUGAGGUGGCAGCUCCCUGGUUUGCUUCCCUUCUCCCCAGUGAGGAGCGGCGGUCCUGAGUGUUUCCCAGGCUCUCUGGGGCCAUCUGUCUGCCCCGAGAAGUGGCCCCGCCCCGCCCACGCCCAGCAAGUGCCUUGCUGCCAAGCUGCUUCCCGGCCCUCACCGCAUCCUUUCACAGCCCAGCUCUGCUGCUCUGGCUGCCCUCAAGCGUGCCGUCCUGCCUCAGCCUCCUAAGGGGCUGGGGACAGGCAUACUCGGCUCUUCGCCCUUUUUAAGUUGGGUUGUUUAUUUUCUUACUGUUGAAUUAUAAGAAUUCUGUGUAUAUUCUAGGCAUAAGUCCUUUGUAUCGUGCUUUGUUACUGCCUUCUACCUGUCUGUACUUUGUCCCUCCUUUGGUACUGGGAUUUGAACUGGUCACUGAGCUCCAUCCCCAGCCCUUUUUAAUUUUCUGAGACAGGGCCUCACUAAGUUGCCCAUCCUGGCCUUGAACUUGGGAUCCUCCUGUCUCAUCCUCCCAAGUGCUGGGAUUACAGACAUCCACCACGAGGUAUUAUAUUUAGAAGUACAAUUUAAUCUUUUUUCUCUGAUGUGAAUUAUCCUUUUGAUAACAUUAUCUAUAAUCCAUUGCAAGGUGAUGAAGAUUUGUUCAUGUUUUCUUUUCUCUUUUUGGUACCAGGAAUCAAACUCAGGGCCUUGCACUUGACAGGCAGGCACUGCACUGCUGAGUUACAUCCCCGCCCUCAUGUUUUCUUUUAAGAGGUUCAUCUUUUUUUGUUCUUGUUGUUUCUGUUUUUUUGGUACCAGGGAUCCAACUCAGGACCUUACGCUUUCGAGGCAGUGACGGAACCACUGAGCUAAAUCCCUGACCCCUAGAGGUUCAUUGUUUUAAAACUUAUGUUUAGGCCAUUUUGGGUAAUGAUGUUUCUUUUCCCGAACAUGCUUUGAGGGAGGGAGCCAGCUCCUGUUUCGCACAUGUGCUGCCAGUUUUCCAGCAUGAGCUGAGGACCCGACCCCAUUGCACGUGCUGGGGGCCGAGGGAGAGCAUCUGCCCCGCCCUGCAGUGCUCGGACCUUGGCCUGGUUGCUGCACAGCACUGGCUCUGCAGCUCUGUUCUGUGUGGUACUGGUUUGCACCCAGGACCAGACCUGCUGGACAAGUGCUUCGCCCCCCAGGCUCUGUCCUGGCCUCUCGCUGCCCCUCAGUCACACCCAGUUUGAACGUGGCGCUGCUCCCUGCAGCUCGUGCUGGCACUGCUUUCAGGAGCAUUUGUGGUUUUCAGUGUGAAUCUUCCUUCUUGGUUCAGUUUAUUGUUUAUUCUUUGGGGGCGGUAUUUUAAGUGGCAUUGUUUUCAUUUAUUUUGGGGUUAUUGAUUGAGCAUAGAACUGAUUCAUACCUGUGGGUCUUACCUGGGAUUUUGAAGUUUGUUGGUGUUAGUAUUCGUCUGCACACGUGUGUGUUGUGCUUCACGUCUGACUCCUGCCUGCCUGUACUUCCCCUCCAGUUGUCACACCUCUGCCACUGCCUUUUUUGCCCAACACCCUGAGCAUCUAAAAUAUGUCAUUGGUCUCAUCAGAGGUCCCAGACAGGCUUUUUACAAACUAUGAAUUUCUCUAGUCAACAAGAAUAUUUGAUAGCCGGCCGUGGUGGUGCAGGCCUGUGAUUCCAGCGCUCCAGAGGCAGAGGCAGGACGGUCGGUCGCUAUGAGUUCAAGGCCAUCCUAGGCUACAUAAUGAAUUCAAGGCCAACCUGAACUACAUAGUGAAACUGUCUGAAAAAAACAAACAAAAAAUAGAAUAUUAGGGAUCAGGAACUGGGCAUGGUAACAGACCUGUAAUCCUAGCACUCAGAAGACUGAGACAGAAAGAUCGCCACAAGUUCAAGGCCUGCCUGGGUUACGCGUAUUGAGUUCAAGGUCAGCCUGAAGUACACUGGGAGACCCUGUCUCAAAAUACAAAGGCUAGGGAUGUAGUGAAGUACAGGAAGUACAGCGUACAGUGGCCUCAGUAUUGCCAGGAAAAAGGCGGACCGGGUAAAGCUGGGCCUUUCCAGUAGCUUCUUCCACAGCAGCGCAGACUCUCUCAGUGAGGGCGUUUCCUGUGCGCUGUCAGGAGCUCUCAGCAGGGCUGUACUGGGACUCGAGUCAGACAGAGGCUCGGCUUCCACUGUCCUUUCCUUGCAGUAGAGAGUGGGUGGCUUGGAACGUCACUCAAGCAGGUGUGUGCAUCUCCAUGAAUGGGUGGGGAAGUGCGUUGCCGGAGGGAGGCGCUGCGGGUCCUGCUGUGGCGGAUCCACACGUUUUCCUUUACUUCCAAAGUGUGUUUACUAUAGAUAGGUUAGAAAAUGAGGUGAAACCAAGGAAGAGUGACAAGUUACACCAGUGUCCUGGCGCUGACCGGCAUCAAGCUGCCGCGGGGGCCAGGCGAGUCCUCUCCCCUUCCUCCUCCACACUCAGCUGCCCUCCUUCCUGUGCCUUGGAAAAGCUAGAGCUUUGCUUCCAGACCUCUUGGUUUAUCCCUUGCCUUGCCGUGAGCACUGCAGUGAGGAGAAGGCCUGGGGCAGCUGCGCGGGGUGGGGUAAUCAGGGCCGGAGCUGCCUGUGCACAGCCCGGGUUCCGCCCAUCCCAGCCCUGCAGAGCGUGAGGAGGAGCUGAAGGAAAUCAUUAUCCGGAUGGGACUCGAUCCUGCCUUGCUGAGGUGCCCUACUCCUUAGAGACAGGGAAAGCGCUUAGUCUCCAUUGCCUUACUGUAUCUAUUAUGUACUUUCUGACCCUUAACCCUUGUUACAGGCGAAGAAGAGUAAAACCAAAAUGCCAUCUUUGGUAAAGAAGUGGCAGAGUAUCCAGCGAGUUAGAUGAGGAGGAAAACUCAAGUUCCAGCGAGGAGGACCGGGAAUCCACAGCCCAGAAGCGCAUUGAGGAGUGGAAGCAGCAGCAGCUGGUCAGUGGCAUGGCAGAGAGAAAUGCUAAUUUUGAAGCCCUUCCUGAGGACUGGCGAGCAAGACUAAAGAGAAGGAAAAUGGCUCCAAACACAUAGUUUAAAUUUUUUUAAAAAAUUUUGUUUUGUUUUGUGUUGGUUCAGAGUCCUAACCAGUCUUACUGUUGUCCAGUAAACUAAAUGUUAUGGGGAACGUGCGCGCUUGCUGGUGAAGCACAUUCGCCGCGUAGUGUCAUCCUCUCCUGCAGUGUCACUGUCUUGGUUUUGCCAAAGGAGGUGAUGGGACAGCUUCGACCUGGCUGGCCUUACUCCGAUGCUGGCCACCCCGGCACGGCAAGUAUGAGCCUGCCGCCUCUGCGAGGCUUAGCGACAAGUGGAGGCUUUGCCUGCCUGCUAGAGCUGAGCUCCGUCCUAAUGUGGCUCUGACUUCUACUCCGACAAGUGCAAUUAGAAGCAGCUCUGCCUGCCUUGCUUGGCUUCAGACCCCUCCGCUUACCGCCUGGGAGCGCUGAGCUGUCAGGCUGAUGUGCCCAGGAGUCCUGUCUCACAGGCUGGGAGCCCAGUCAUUUGCAUGCCAGGUGGCAGGGUUCCAUUGUGAUACAGGCAGCAGUGGCCACGGUGGUUCAGAUCCUCGGUUUUGAGAGAUUUCCCAAAUACACAGCAGGAAGUGUACCAAGGGCCACUCUGUGUCUAGUGUGUCCGUUGUACCCUGUCCCAGAGUCACCUCCCUGCUCUGUGAAUGUGGACUCCAUAAAAUUCCAGUAUUUAAAAGGCAGUUUGCUGUUGUACUUUCUGUUGUAUCACAAUCAGGUAAAGUCACUUUAAACUGAAGAAAAAACAAAUUGUGUUUUAAAGCUGUUUUUAUUUCUCCAAUUUCUGACCUUGUAAAUUUUGUAUAUAUGCACUAAUAAAACUCUUUUUAUACUUGU